UUUAGAGUCGACCACAGAGAGAUUUGAACUUUGUGGUUUUGCUUGAAUUGCAGAUGAGAAAAUGGAAAGUGUGGGAACAAGAAACCAAGACCGUGGAAUACCAGUUUUCGCAUGAUCUGGAGAGGUUUCGAUUCGCAAGGGAGACGUCCUUCGGACGACGACACUUGAACUUUUGGAGUAGAUCACCCGUUCUCAUAUGGAUUGUUUGUUUCUUCAGACAAUUCGUGAGGUCUGUUCCAAAAGUGGACUACUUAACCCUGAGACAUGGCUUUAUAAUGGGAAUUUAAGAUUUUUACACGGCCCAUCUGAUAAAAAGGCCCACAUAACCUUUUGCUGAUUAUAAUAUCCAUCCAAUUUUCAGGCCCACUUGGCUCCGCAGAGCUCGACUAAAUUCGAUUUUCAGAAAUACAUCAAAAGAUCACUUGAAGAAGAUUUCAAAGUUGUCGUCGGGAUUAGCCCUAUAUUAUGGUUCUUCGCUGUGCUCUUCCUGAUGAGCAACGCACACGGAGGAUAUGCUUAUCUAUGGCUGCCUUUCAUUCCUUUGAUCAUCAUUCUACUGGUGGGAAC